UGUAAACAUUUUUAUAAAAAAAAGCCCAAAUCGUCUAUUUUUCCUCACUUCCUUCUGUGUUUAACCCUCCAUUCCACAGGUGGAGGGGGGUGCACUGAGCAUGCUCAGAUGUCCAUGGAA